rnacentral:rRNA from 1 species
CCCUUAGAUGUUCUGGGCCGCACGCGUGCUACACUGACCGGCGCAACAAGCUUUUUUCCUUGGCUCGACAGGCCUGGGUAAUCUUCGAACGCCGGUCGUGAUGGGGAUAGAUCCUUGCAAUUUUUGAUCUUCAACGAGGAAUUCCUAGUAAAUGCGAGUCAUCAUCUCGCGUUGAUUACGUCCCUGCCCUUUGUACACACCGCCCGUCGCACCUACCGAUUGAAUGGUCCGGUGAAAUCUCGGGACGGCGGCUUGGUCGCUUGCGUCCGACUGCUGAAACUUGAUUAAACCAUAUCAUUUAGAGGAAGGUGAANUCGUAACA